UCUGGUAAGUAGACACUUACGGUACCCGGGUUUUUACUGCUACCGCAAUUUAGCAGUAACAGUAAAAACCCGGGUACUGUAACUCUGCAUAAGAACGCAGAGGACCACACCGCCGAAACCACCAUCACCACCGACUAAACUGAUGGCGGCGAAGACGCUGGCGCUGCUACCUAGUCGCUGGGACCGACGCCACGGGCUGAGGCGAUGUCGUGGGCCGCGCCAGCGCCCUCGCUGUCGUCGUGGUCACAAUAAAACCUCCUCCGCCACUACCACUACCCAGCCAUCACGAAAACAAUAAUAAUACCAAUAAAAACGACGACAAAUAAUAAUAAAUAUGUAAUGCAGGUACUCACGAGUCAAUCAGGAAUCAGUCUUUUAAAUUAUUAUUAUCAAUAAAAUUGUUCCCACCAUAGUCAUCACCAAAACAAUAAUAAAUAUGUAUGUACAUACUACUCCACAUAGUUUUGUGUAAUUCAGGGAUGGACGUUUACUUUUCACUAAAUUUCUAGCAGCCAAAUAUUUAAUUAUUAUUUUCAAAAAAAUUGUAAACACCACCACAGCCAUACCACAACCACCACCACAAAUAAUAUGACGACGACGACCACGACGACAGAUUACCGUCCGAGUCACCACCACCACAAAUAAUAAUAGUACGACGACGACAAGGAAGAUUAAAGACUCAACCUCAACGAAAUGACAACGAACUAGAGAAAUACUUUAACUUUUGUAUUAACAUUAGUGACAAUGGUUCACAGGAAGAGAGUCGACAGAGUUGUACAAAUGAGGAUUCUGAAUUCUCAGACACAGUGAAUUCAGUGAACAGUGAGUUCAGUGAAUCGAGUUUCUCAAUGCAAGAUGACCACGACCACGACGAUGACCACGACGACAGAUUACUGGUCGAGUCACCACCACCACAAAUAAUAAUACGACCACGAUAAUAAUAAUAAAUAUGUAUGUAUGAACUUGUGUAAUAAUUUAAAAACAAAUUGUACACACACCCAGUCGUGGUCAAAUCGUUGAUAGUGAAAAGGAUGAGUGAUGAAAAAAUAUCCCGAAAAAGUCACCCGGUGAAAUCUCAUCUUCAUCAACUUAUGAAAUUCGCGCACGGGGUUACCUGCUUUUGUGUAAAAAUAAAAAAGAGAAAGGUAACCGGUAAAAGACCACGUUUUUCCCUCACAUUUUGUGACGCUUGGUUUUUUAACGGAAAAAAUCAUAAAAUAUUGUGCAGCUUGCAGUCUUGUGGUGUUUAUUUGUAAAGUGGACUACUUUCUUAGUUAAUUGGUGACUCUUAAAUAGUUUUAAUAGACAAAAACUCGUGCAAAAAGGUGAUCAAUACUCAAAAUACUUGAAACGGGUGUCAAUAUGUGAAAAAAUUUGAAGAAAAAACUGCUCAAAACUUGAAAUUCUUUUAAUACGUGACAAAAAACUUGCAGAAAAAGUGGUCAAAACUCGAAAUUCUUUUAAUACGUGACAAAAACUACUAGAAAAAAGUGUUCAAAACUUGAAAAUCUUUUAAUACGUGACAAAAAACUUGCAGAAAAAGUGGUCAAAACUCGACAUAUUUUUCAAUACGUGAAAAAUAUUGUCUAAAAAGCGAACAAUACUCGUUAUAGUUGACAAAAACUUGAACAAUUCUUUCAAAAAAGUGAAUAAAAAGUGCAACCUUGUUCUUACAUAAAUCUUGGAUAUCAUGGCUGGGUCAAAUAAAAAGAUUCAGUGAUAACACCACCGCACUACCCAGCAAAAACACCAACCGACGGAAAGAGUGUGCAGAAAAAUCAUGGUUAGUUUAUGGAAGUACUGGGAUUUCAGGAACACUGUGUAAUAUUAUUCUAUUAUUCAGACAAGGGGUUCUUAUCAACGGUAGCACCACCACCACUUUCUUCUGUUCGACUUCCGGUACAACCAAUCUCGGCACCAGGCCAACCAACCUACACCCCACAACCACCACCUAAAUUUUCCUACAAUUUAACAGUACCUCGAUCAAAAUCAUCACUUUCCCCCUCGCCAAAAAUAUUGACAACUCCACCAACCAUUCCAACUCAGCGGCCUUUUACUAAUUAUUCCGGAGAAAGCGGGCACGCAAUCACGACUACUACACGUGUCCCAGACUUCUGCAUGAGAAUGGGUUGACUACUAACACAACGAUUGACUCACCAAAACUUUCCCACAACCGGUCGACUUCCGCACUUUCUCCCAGCCCCACACUAGCAACACUACUGACACAACUGUUACCAACGUCAUCAGUCACACAACAACCUCCCCCUACUUUCUCCCCCUUGGUUACUACCACGACGACUACUACUACUGAACGCUUAUCUACAAAUCUCCCAGAACACGUGGCACGAGUGGAAAUGAAUACAGUGGAGCCUGUCUUACUCACAGAAGCGACAACGUUUAAUUUUGGACUGGAGAAAAUUUUAAAACUAUUCCCACAACACCACCAGGAAUGCUUCGUGGUAAUAAUUAUUCAUAAUAAUGACACACCACGUGAAAAGACUGCGGUAGUAAACUAAUUCACAUCAUGAGUGGUAUUAGACCAAACAAGACUUUUGAGACUUUGUUAGAUGUCAUGUUAUGUCCACAGUGUGUGAAUGAUCAAGGAAUGUUUCCCAUAAAAAAAUGUACAAUGGGUUGUUUACCUUACCCAUUGCGCCCCAGUGAUUUUUAUUUCAACAAAUAUGUGUGGCUACUCCGAUUUAAACUGAUAAAGGACUGCAAACGCAAAAGUCAGUGUGUAUGCAAAAUUUGUAUGUGGAAGGUCAAGAAUCCUACAAUAAACUUUAAAAGUACAGAUUUCAUCCCGUGGGAACAUAAAUAUGCAGAGUUCAACCACCGACUUGUGUGUCGAGGGUGUUGCAAACCUCAGAUUCCAGCUCCACCAAAGGAUUCUGAAGGAAGAUAUCUCUGGUGUGAUUGGCGAACUCGGUGUUCGUGUGAAGAAUGUUUGGAAAUAAUCUUGGAUCCUGACGAUUAUUUUUCUAACUGGUUGACUCAAGUUGGUGACGUGUGUUUCUCCUUUGAGGAAGCUAAUGCAAAGAAUCUGAUGUUACCACCACUGCCUAAAUAGUUUACUGUUAUUUUGAUGAUUGUAUUAGAUUUCGUGUUGAGUUUGUUGUAUGUGUACUAGUUAUAUUUUAUGAGGAUGUGUGCUUGUGUGUGUAUUUGGUUUUUGUAUGCAAAAUUAAAUAUUUAAAACUAUUUUAACAAUUUACUGAUGAGUACUUGUGGAGAUAUUCACUUUUCAUGUGUUGUGAUGUGAAAUAAAUAUUUAACCCCAGACAAAAAUUUACACAUUGUACAAAUUGGUUGUAUUUUUUAUCAUAUUUGCAUUGAUUACAUUUCUAUUUACAAUUUAAUUACAUGUAGACUGUUUCAUACAAUAUCUUUGUGCCGAACGG